GCCUCUAUGGCGCAGUGGUAACGCGUCGCACUUGUACCACUAGAAAAGACAUACUUUUCUCAAUGCUUAAAAUGCGAAGAUCACAAGUUCAAUUCUUGUUGGAGGCA